rnacentral:rRNA from 1 species
AACGAACGCUGGCGGCAUGCCUAACACAUGCAAGUCGAACGAGACCUUCGGGUCUAGUGGCGCACGGGUGCGUAACGCGUGGGAACCUGCCCUUAGGUUCGGAAUAACUCCCGAAAGGGGUGCUAAUACCGGAUAAAGUCUUCGGACCAAAGAUUUAUCGCCUUUGGAUGGGCCCGCGUUGGAUUAGCUAGUUGGUAGGGUAAAAGCCUACCAAGGCGACGAUCCAUAGCUGGUCUGAGAGGAUGAUCCGCCACACUGGGACUGAGACACGGCCCAGACUCCUACGGGAGGCAGCAGUGGGGAAUAUUGGACAAUGGGCGAAAGCCUGAUCCAGCAAUGCCGCGUGAGUGAUGAAGGCCUUAGGGUUGUAAAGCUCUUUUACCCGGGAUGAUAAUGACAGUACCGGGAGAAUAAGCUCCGGCUAACUCCGUG